CAAGACAACAAAUAUGCAUAUUUCUCAAAAUAUUGAAUUAUUCCUUUAACGGUCCCUUGAAACACGUGCUAUGUGUCAAAGUCAGAGAAUGAGAGAGUAGGAAUUGUUCCCUUGGAGUUCAAAUCCUUGUAACUGAGUUCAGAGAAAAUAUUUUUAUAUUCCAUCAGUCCAAAGGAAAAAAAAAUCCCUCUCUUAAGAGCUGUUUACUGUGGCAAUCCUGUAACACUGACAGGUCUUUUUUCAACUCUCUCCUGAUCUACAACCAGUAAGAAUUAGGCUGAGCUGAAGCUGCUCAUUUUUGCUGUUCGUACAUCCAUCUAAUUUAAGGCAAAAUGUGUCUUUGUUAGGUACAUGUGCUUAGGUCUGACCAAGCCCUAGCAGCACUUUACGAACCGUAAUAGUUAGUAGAAUCAUUCAGAUACAUGGCUUUUAUGGGCUUACCUUUAAGUUAAGACACCCUAAAAUGGCAACUAAUUACAGUGAUCAACAUUCCUGUCACAAUGAAAUGACUAAAACUCGCCUCUCUAACUGAAAACUGCCCGUGUUGCUUUGUCUGGCUUUGCAAACAUUAAGGUAACUGAGAGGAUUUUUAAGUAUGAUUGGAUUCUGGUUUAUGAGCGUCAGGGACUUUGUCAUGCUGAUGUGGUGAAUGGUGUGUUGGUGGCUUUCUUCCACAGCACAGAGAAUUUCCAUUCUGACUGUGAUAAAAGGAAAUACGGUGCAGGCAGAGUGUGAAAGGGUGAGGCACAGUCAAAUAUGGAGCGGAUUCAGAAACUAGUUCAUUGACUUGUUCAGAUUUGUAAAAUCCCAGGUUUGCAUGCAUUUAUGUAAAUAUAUUCAACCAAGAAAGGAUCCUUGUUCAGUCAGUGUUAUUAGAGUUAAGUAGAGUAACAGCACUGAGCAUGUUUUGCUCAAUAAAAGGCGAUUGUUAAGAAAAAAUGGUCAGUGGCUAAAGGUUUUAUAUUUUCUAUCACCAAAAUCAAACCUCUACACCCUUUAAUAACUGUCUCCAGUAUCAAGUGCUAUAGAGCUACAGGCUUUACUGCUUGCACAAAAGUCAAUAAUGCAGGGUCAGAGGUCAGCUCAGGCUUACAGUUGCCUGUGUGUCCAGUCAGCCGUUGCAAUUGGUUUUGAAGUAGCAAUCCUGAGGGUGCAGAAUAGCACUGUGGACACAAGGGAUGAGGGGAUAAAUGGAUGGCCAGAGGAGGGAUGGAGCUUUCAUCUCCCUGAGUGAACAACCGUGUUGGUGCAAUUAAGGCUCUUUUACAGGACUGGUGAAUUGAUUAACAUGCCAUCCAGCCAAUGGGAGAGCUGAGGGCCCAUUUCCUCCCUAGAGCCGAGUGAAGCAUAAGACUUACCUCCCUGCUCGUCCAACAUAACCAAAGUCCUGAUGCCGGCAUCUUUGCUCUACUCCCCAAAGACAGGCAGGUAGCAAGGAGGGGUGAGGGAGAGAGGAGAAAUAAAAUGAAAUAGAGAUGACGACAGUGCAACCAUGUAAACUAAAGACUUGGAGCUUCUUACUGUCCUCGCUGUACCAAGACAGAUUCAGCUCUGCCCAGCAACACAACCCACUGUCUUCCUCUUGGUUUGCUUCAUGUGUGUUCCUACAGCUCUGCUCCUCUAUCAAGCAGUUAUUGUUGUCUGUUAACGGAUUGCAUAGUGUUCUUUGUUGGGAACAGAGAAUAAUGGGGACAUUGUGUAGCAACUUGGUAAUGUUGGCUCCCUCAAGUUCAAAAUUAAAAUAUGACUUGCUGCAUAAUGUUGUGUGGGUACAUCACCAAAAUUAUUAUUAUGUAAAAUUCAUCAAUUAGAAUUAAUGUAUAAUUAUUUUGCAACUAAGGACUUGAGAAAACAACUACACACUGAGAAAUUAUGAACAUUUGUUCUUACUCAGUGCUCCCUUUAUUCACAAAUUUCUAAAAUGAACAUUUUAAUAACAGUGACAAAAUUAUAAGACAGGAACAAAAUUAAAUAGCCUCAUAGCUGUAACAUUCAAAUUACUAAACUGUAAGAAUUUAACAGGGUGUUGCAUUUUUUCUGUUCAGCAGUUAAUUUCCUGAUUAUGCCAAACAAUAAAUGCAGUAAAUUCUUAUUUCUGCUGUUUUCAGUCCAUCUACACACAGACGAAUUUUGCCCCAAAGCGUAUCUGAGUCAUGACUGAAUUCCAGUCUCACUACAUUAAUUUCUUUU